CGCCAUAACCAAUUGUGGACAGAGGAUCAUCUAUCAGCAGACAAAUGCAGGAACUCCAGAAUGUCUCUCCUCAAAUGAAAUAAUAUAUCUUUGAAAGCCAAUGCCCGUUUUAGGCCCGAGGCCCAUAUAUCAAGCCUGAGAGGCUGGUGGAAUCGCUCCAGGGCCAUUAACCUUCCACCUGUUUCCCCUUGUCCUUCAGGAUGAGACCCUGCCCUUGAUUUUACGCCCUUCCCCUGUUCAUCUUCCGACAGAGUGGAAAUGUAAAGCAGCAGGCCUGUGAAAUAAUUCAAAGGCAAUGGACCAGGGGCACGGUUACAAAUCUCUGCCACUGGCACUGUGACUUAUGCCGGCAGUUUGUCACACAUGAGCCAGGUGACCUCUGUGACAUAACAGAGAAAAAUAUCGCCGGAGAUCAAAGAUGGGAUUCAGAGCGCUCUAAGUAACUCUGCUCCACAGGGUGAGCGGGUUAUCUGGUGUCCAAGGAUUUCCCCUCAUACCGAUAACAUUUGUUCCAGAGAAAUGGAAAAGAAAUGUGAGGAUACCAACCGCCUUUAGAGAGCCACAGAGUUCCUGACCUGGGACCACGCCUGGGUUUCCAGGGGUGUGAGAAGCCCUCGGACUGCGUGAGAAAUCUUCUGUACACGCGUUUUUCUGGGAAGAUAAGAGCUCUGAUUGGAUACUCAAAGGUUGUUUGUAAUUCAAAGAAGCCGCUAACAGUGACUGCUAGAGAGCAGAAUUUGAGGUCCUAAAAUUUUUUAUUAUCAAACUAGAAUCAAAACCUGUGAGAGCCCAAAAGGAUCCGAGAGGUCAUCCAGCCGGAUCCGCCAUCUUGCGGAUGAGACAACGAAGGCCGAGCAAGAGGAAGUCACGCGACCAGAAUUGAUUAAAAUGAUACUUAGAGGAACUAGAACUCCAGACUCUUGCUUCUUAAUCUAGGACUCCCUCCACUGUGUGUGAUAACGGUAUAUCCUCUGGCUGUCGUUUAAAAGCCAGAUUUUGUUUCAAGUCCCUUAAAAUAAUUUUUCUGUGAUGUAGAAACCUAAUUAUAAGAGAUACCUAUGUAUUUAAAAGAACAUAAAGCAUUUUAUAAUUACGGCCUUAAGCAUUUGUUGUUACGGGUAAACAUUAAAGUACUUUCAUUUGUGGAUUAAAAUUUGCUUUUAUAAAAACAGCACUAGAAUGAUGGAUAUUAUGCCUUGAAUUCUUGGUAGGUUUUCUUCCUGAAAAAAAGAUGUGUCAUAUGACAGGGUAGGCCUAAUUUUUAAGUAGUUCUGUUGUCCCUGUUUCAUUAUAAGCACAUUUUCAAGCUUCUCUAUAAAUUAAUAUUUAAUUUGCACACAUAAAUCCACUGUCUCUCUUACAGUUAAGUAUGAGUUAACAGACGCUCCUCUGUAAUAUUCACAAAAAUCUCAAAUUGUACAAUGCCAUCUAAUACCAAUGAAUAUGUUUCUACUUGAUGUUUGAUCAUUGCGAAUUCUCUAUACUUCCAAAUCAUUAACAAAAAUACUAAGCAAAGCAUGUCAUUUGUCUGUCUGAAUUCUUAAGACAAAAGUGAGGCAUUUGACAUUUCCAGUAAACCACUUCAAACAGUCACUCCUUUUGGAAGGAAAUGCUGAACAGCAAAAAAACAAAAACAAAAAAACACGAAAAUAUGCUCUAAUAGUAAAUUAUCCUAAAAUUUUUAAUGCGUUAAUGUCCUAUGAUUUAAAACAAAUAAAAUAUGGUUAGCCAGCAGCCAAAAAAAAAAAAAAAAUUCCUGGGCAUGAAUCACUGCUUACAUUCUUUUCCAUCCACAAACAACCUCGUUUGGGAAAGUUGCCACAUAGUAUCGACAGUGACAACAAAUGGCAUUGUCCCGUGAACAUCUGUUUCCGACUCCCACACUGAUACUGCGGGCCGAGUACUUAGGACUUAGUUGGUCUUCACAAGUUGCUGAGCCACAAAGGAACUGGAAAUCACUGGUACGUUGAGGUUUUAUUAUUGGAACACAGGAAAACUUUAUCAUCAUGCUGGGAAGUUCUGUAUCUUUUGAAAUAUUGGAACGGGGGUUAUGUUAGCACAUUAAACCAUGCGGAAGACUACUUCUAAAGAAAAGGGAGGAAAAAAAUUGUUUCUUGUCUAUUAUGUCCUUGGAGCGAGGUUCCCACUCAAUCUUCAUAUAACUUCCUCACCCACCCUCAACUGAAAACUGUUUUGCUUUUUAAAGAUGUUAUUGAGUUUAGUUUCUUGUUGGAAUUGAGAAAAACGAAUACCAAAGAAUGCUAAGCCAAACAUGAUAAAUAAACACUAUUGUUUAACAAAAAAAAAAAAUCAAAUGAAAUCAGAAGAGCUUUUAUAGACCCUUUUAUUUUUUCUAAACUCAAACAACUAUGCUUGCAUUUUCCAAAAACCUGGCUACAGAGGGCUCAUAGACUCCUGACUCUAACGUCCUCACCUCCGCCCAGAAUGUUAAAAGGAGGAAGGCAAAGAGCUGCCGGGAGAAAAGCCAGUAGGAGUGGGAUAAAUGGAGAGGUGGACACAUGACACAGACAUGGGACUUCUGCCUGUGCAGGUGAACCUGGCUGUAAGGGUCAUGGUCUCUGCCAGCCUAUCAAUAACCAGUCAAGUGCACACGACCAAUUUCUGCCAUUUUAUACCUUUUUUCGAUGUGGCAUUGACUUCUAACAAAAGCAAUCAUGGGAGUGAAAGGUAUUCACAGCGGUAAUUCCAAAUUAACGUCUGUUCAAAUUAUUUGCAUACUCCAAAUUAAUUUGCAUAUCGCUGAAACAAAGAGGCUUCCCUCUUCUUUUUGUGGUUAAAAAUGGGAUCACGUAUAUUAAUGAAAGUGCCAGGGGGGAUAUGCAGUCAACACCUGACCAGUGUGUAUUUUUUACACAUUUCAUUCUAAAAAGACAUUGGAACAUAUUCUGUAAGAUACUGUUUACCUUUAACGCUGCACACACUAAACACUCAAAAAAUAUCUGUUGAACAGAUAGCUAAAUGAAAUAAUCACAGAGCUGCCUGGCUGAAAAUAGGAAAAUAAUAAAUUUCUACUGGAUAGAGAUAAUCUGAACACUUAUUUUGCCUAGAAAAUGACCUUUUUACCAGGGCACACAUAUUGUUUGGGAAUAAGUAAUUUAUGUUUUAAAAAAGAAUCUACUUAUUACUAAAUACCACAUCUUAAUUUCAUAUCCUGAAAACCACCAAAAACAUGACUAUUUAAAAAAUCAUGACUAUCAUUACUACUUAUGGGAAAAUAUACCCGAAUUUGGGGAAGUUAUUUUUUCUUCAUUUGAUUCUGGUCUAUACUGAUUAAAAACAAAACAAAAGUACUUGAGAUUUGUGUCUCUCUCACUUUUAACUUUAUAACCAGUUCUCAAAUAAUUGCGCUUAUAAUUAGUUAUCAAAAAAGAAAAAAAUUUUAAUAAACACAAUUGGAAAUUAGAAGCAGAUCUGUAAUAUUUAUGCACAGGAAUCCUUUGGUUAUAAAAAAUAAGACAACAUAGAAAUGUGUUAUAUAGGACAACAGUAGCUAUGUUUAUAUUGUCUCUGAUGCUUUUCAACUCCCUUUUAUCAUGACACCAGCUCUUCUCAGGCUCUUGUAAGAUGAGUAAGUACGGGCAUUUUCCUCCCUUUUUAUAGAUGAGGCAUCCUUCAAGAUUGAGUUGAUCCAAAUGGCACCAUUUCUGGAAAGUUUUCCCCGGUGCCCUCUCCAUACACGCAGCUCUGCCUGUGUUCCUGCACACGUAUCAUCUCUAUGAUACAUUCUUUGUAAAGUCUAACUACAUGUUCACAAGUCUGUCCCCCAGCCAUGCGUGGCUUGGGAGCAGGGACCAGGUACAUUUAUUUACCUUGUAUUCCUACUGUUUAGCUUUGUGCCUGGAAUAUUGAGGGCUCAACAUACAUUUGCUGCAUGAUUCAGUCAGGAAACUGUGGCUCAGGGAGCUAUGUAAAUGCUUUGACCCAAGGCAUAGAGCUCAGGUGAAACCGAGACCUGACUCCCAGUCCAGGGCUUUCCACUAGGCACCGCUCCCCUUUCCAACUUCAGCUGCAUUAACCGAUACUCUGUAGAUGUCAUCUGAUAAUAACCAAAUAAGUCAACAAAAAGGCAAGCAGUCAGUGCUGAUUUUAGUAAGGAAGUAAAGAUAAAAUUCUUCAUCACACCUUGUGUCACCCAGAGGAAACAUCAGCCUACCAAUUCUACAAACAUGCCAGUAAAAGAAUUUCCUUGGCCAACAGACAGCAUGGAAAUGUCCUUUUUGAAAAUCCAUUAACCCCCUAAAUUCAUGAGCUUGCUAGAAACAUUUCCUAUGCCAUGGGAUACAAGGCUCACUGAGUACUCUUCCCCUUUCUAUUUCUGGAAUCUUCUUUUGUUCAUACUUGCUAAUAAUAGUGGCAGAGCUGGGGGGUUAUUUAUAGUCCAGAAAGCAGCAAGACUUGGUGAACACUUUAUUCACUUAUAUUUCCUGUGUUUAUUGGUACCUUACCUUUUUGGUAAUUAAAAGUGUUCCUCCAAGAUUUUAUUUAGUAACAAAUCACCUGUAAAUAGCUUUUCUUUUAAUAUACGAAAGUCUAUAUAUAGACUUAAAAUAUUUUCCUCCCAUUUCCGAUUAACUAAAAACAGAUUUCAAUGGGGGGGGAAUCAACUAUGUUUUCUUUCCAAAUUUUAUAUGAAAUAUUAUUAUUUGACCUUUAGGUGUUUUGAUUAAAAGAAUCUCCAUGUGAUAGAUCACGCAUUCACAAAUCACUCAAAUUUUGUCUUUUGACAUUGGAGCAAAAUUGUUAUUAUACUUGACCCAAAAGGAAUUUAUUAAGCAACAGACAAAAACUUAAAAAUAUAUUUGGUUAGAAAGCAUAGUAUUAAAAAAAAGAUGUUUCCUCUUCCCCCGGCCACCUCCUCCCCUCGCAAUUGCUUGCUGGAAAACAGUGUCUCUAUAAAUGGUCCCACCCAUUUGAAGCCAAUGGUUUUUUCUAGUCUAAGAAGCAUCCAAAAUCAGAAAGAUGAAUUUUGCCAGAUUUACUUCUGCUAUUCAAGGUCAAGACCUUGAUUUUUUGAUAAGUGAGUUAGACCCUACCCCUUUGUAAGUAUUUGCUUGUGAAGACAGUCAUAUCAAAGAUGAACCAAUUUCUUCCCCACCUCGAAGACAACAAAAAAGCAUACACUCUCAACCUGAACUGGCAUUCCAUAUCAUGGGGCCCUUUGUUGCACAGCAUCGACUCUUUUAACCACAAAGGCAAACUCAAGAUACUCUGUGUGCCUCUUUUUUUUUAAUUAACCAACUUUUAAGACCUUCGGAAGAAACUAUCCGCUAAACAUCACCAUUGUCUGUGUCUCGGAGCAGUGGGGUGCUGUAACACAGGUGAUCCUGGCUCCUUUGGUCUCACUGAAUCAGCUCUGCUUUUCACCACAACUUAACAUCCCCUAGAAUGGAGACAAUUAGGGUUUUUUCUGUACAAUAGUCUAUUUAGAGAAACAAUCAGCAGUUAAUUAGAGCAUUCAAUCUCAAAAGCUCUCUUUUAAUAAAAAUAUAUAUUUUUUUACUCCUCUGCUCUAAAGCUGAUGGAACUAAGAGUCAGGAGAAAUGGGAGCAAUUAGGCAAACAUUUAUUUGCCAAUUCUCAAUAUGGGAUAAUUUAACAACUGGCUUUGCCCUACACUCAAAUGUAAGGGACAACCGAUUUGGGGCACCGUUGUUGUUUCAAGUGCCAUUUCAAUGCGUUUUUAUGUAAUGUUUUGUUUUGUUAACUUAAAGCUAAACAAAUACUCCUUACCCCAGAAACCUUGGUAAAAUGUUACAUCUGUGCAGCAAAGUGCUUUCUGAUCUAAGUUAAUUAUUGACUCAGUAGGGUUUUUUCCCUCCCUCCUGAAGUGAAGUGGGAAAGGACUAAAUGCUGUGGAAAAAAUCUACCGCAAAAGCACAUGAAAUAAUAUUUUGUGGCUAUGAAGCUCCUAUCUCUGAAAGCGUUCUGUGUGGUAGAUUUGAGUUGGAAAUUAAAGAACAGUAAUCACAAUUGUUCUACAAAUGAGGUGACAUCUCUAAAUUCUCAUCAGGUAGCCAUCUGGGUAAAUAAUUCCUAACCCAAGAAGAAAAUGGCUGAAAAAGACCAUCUCAUAAAAGGAUAUGUAUCUGGAGAAGUAGGUGGUUUUAUUCUCACUUCAAAAAAUAAAUUCAUUUUCACUCUCUCUUACACAGGAUGCCAACAUGUUUCUACUGUUCCCUACAAAUUCUUCCAGAAUUCUCCCAUGUACUUGAGAGCCUGUACACAUAGACGGAUACUCUGUGGAACAUCCUCGCGGCUCAUGUUCAUAUAACCAUCAGGUAUCGUGCAUUCUCACGGAGCAAAGGCCAGCAACUUAAACCAGUUCCAAUUCAACCAUAUUUAUACAUUCAACUUUUAGAACAGAUUUUCUAUUAAAUGGUAUUAGGCAGAAACAAUCCAUGAAAUCUCCUGACUGAUCAUUAUACUUAAAGGAUAUGCUUGACUUGUAAACUAUUUAGAGAUAAAAGCCAUAAAACUGUCCAAAAUGUGACUUGGAUCAUAGAAUUUGCUAGGCUGGCUUCUCUCUCUGCCUAAUUACUCCUCAAACCCCAAAUCCACAGAGGGACUCUGCCAUCCAUUCAUUCAACUAAGAUAUACUCCUUUGAUCCCCUGUACCACUUAUUUAUUCUUAUGGAUGUUUUUCAGCUUAUUGAGGUACAAUUGACAUAAAAUUAUAAGAUAUAGGAAGUAGCCAGUGUGGUGAGUGUACACACAUUGUGAGAGGAUUCUCUCCUAUCUAGUUAAUUAAGACAUCCAUCACCUCACAGAUUUAUCUUUUUUUUUUUUUUUUGGUGAGAACAUUUUAAGUUCUUCUCCUGCACAACUUAUAUCAGUCAUACUACCUCACAAAUAAAAAGCACUUGAGAAAUUCACUUCAUUUUUCUAGCAAUAUCGGAAGUAAGCAAAAGUCAUUUUUUUAAAACUCUCUCAAAGUCUUUUAAAUUUAUUUUGAAUUUUGAGCUCUUGAGAAUAAGUUCUUCAUCAAAAUGUACUCGAGCAUCCCAUUUUAAAGCCAACUCGAAUCCAGCUUAGAGGUACCCGCU